UACGUAGGGUGCAAGCGUUGUCCGGAAUUAUUGGGCGUAAAGAGCUCGUAGGCGGUCUGUCGCGUCUGCUGUGAAAACUCGGGGCUUAACCCCGGGCCUGCAGUGGGUACGGGCAGACUAGAGUGCGGUAGGGGAGACUGGAAUUCCUGGUGUAGCGGUGAAGUGCGCAGAUAUCAGGAGGAACACCGGUGCGAAGGCGGGUCUCUGGGCCGUAACUGACGCUGAGGAGCGAAAGCGUGGGGAGCGAACAGG
rnacentral:rRNA from 1 species